UGGGGAAUUUUGGACAAUGGGCGCAAGCCUGAUCCAGCCAUGCCGCGUGUGGGAAGAAGGCCUUCGGGUUGUAAACCACUUUUGUCAGGGAAGAAACGGCCUGAUCUAAUACAUUGGGUUAAUGACGGUACCUGAAGAAUAAGCACCGGCUAACUACGUGCCAGCAGCCGCGGUAAUACGUAGGGUGCGAGCGUUAAUCGGAAUUACUGGGCGUAAAGCGCACGUAGGUGGCGACGUAAGUCGGGUGUGAAAGCCCCGGGCUCAACCUGGGAAUUGCAUUCGAGACUGCAUUGCUGGAGUACGGAAGAGGAGGGCGGAAUUCCCGGUGUAGCGGUGAAAUGCGUAGAUAUCGGGAGGAACAUCAGUGGCGAAGGCGGCCCUCUGGUCCAGUACUGACACUCAAGUGCGAAAGCGUGGGGAGCAAACAGGAUUAGAUACCCCCGUAGUCCCUGAGCGGGCUGGCAAGGCGCAU
rnacentral:rRNA from 1 species